AGCGAACGCUGGCGGCAGGCCUAACACAUGCAAGUCGAACGAACCUUUCGGGGUUAGUGGCGGACGGGUGAGUAACACGUGGGAACGUGCCUUUAGGUUCGGACUAACUCAGGGAAACUUGUGUUAAUACCGAAUUUUCCCUUCGGGGGAAAGAUUUAUCGCCUUUAGAGCGGCCCGCGUCUGUUUAGCUAGUUGGUUGAGGUAAUGGCUCACCAAGGCGACGAUCAGUAGCUGGUCUGAGAGGAUGAUCAGCCACAUUGGGACUGAGACACGGCCCAAACUCCUACGGGAGGCAGCAGUGGGGAAUCUUGCGCAAUGGGCGAAAGCCUGACGCAGCCAUGCCGCGUGAAUGAUGAAGGUCUUAGGAUUGUAAAAUUCUUUCACCGGGGACGAUAAUGACGGUACCCGGAGAAGAAGCCCCGGCUAACUUCGUG
rnacentral:rRNA from 1 species